CAAGGUGGUUAUUAGGCUACAUACUGUAGGCUACAAGGUUAUUCGUACGUACUGUAGGUUACGAGGUUCUUAGGUUACAAGGUUAUUAGGCUACAUACUGUAGGUUACAAGGUUAUUAGGCUACAUACUGUAGGUUACAAGGUUAUUAGGCUACAUACUGUAGGUUACAAGGUUAUUAGGCUUACAUACUGUAGGUACAAGGUUAUUAGGCUACAUACUGUAGGUUACAAGGUAUUAGGC
rnacentral:lncRNA from 1 species